rnacentral:rRNA from 1 species
AACGAACGCUGGCGGCAUGCCUAACACAUGCAAGUCGAACGAUGCCUUCGGGCAUAGUGGCGCACGGGUGCGUAACGCGUGGGAAUCUGCCUUUCGGUUCGGAAUAACUCAGGGAAACUUGAGCUAAUACCGGAUAACGUCGCAAGACCAAAGAUUUAUCACCGAAAGAUGAGCCCGCGUAGGAUUAGCUAGUUGGUGAGGUAAAGGCUCACCAAGGCGACGAUCCUUAGCUGGUCUGGGAGGAUGAUCAGCCACACUGGGACUGAGACACGGCCCAGACUCCUACGGGAGGCAGCAGUGGGGAAUAUUGGACAAUGGGCGAAAGCCUGAUCCAGCAAUGCCGCGUGAGUGAUGAAGGCCUUAGGGUUGUAAAGCUCUUUUACCCGGGAAGAUAAUGACGGUACCGGGAGAAUAAGCCCCGGCUAACUCCGUG